UUCUUCGAAGAAGCCAUGCGGAAUUGUUGUCAAAAUAAAUGUCAUUUUCGUUCAACGACUUUAUUAUUUUUUUGCUGUUAUUAAUCGAUUUCGUGUUGAAUAUCAUUUAUUGUGUGUUUUCUAAUACAUAUUAUUUUCUUAAAUCACAAUAUGAACAAAUCGCCAAUGUAAAUAUGGUCGAAAAUUCUAAAAAACGUAAAAGACACGCAGUUGAUCAACCUAACCAAACUAUAGUAAAAAGAGGUGUUAUAGAUGCAAACUGGCAGAAAUUACUGCAAUCCACGUCGUUAAUGGAGAAACCGAACGAAAAACCAGCGGCUACAGAUAAAAAAGAGCACUUUACUGGCACAUUUAGGCGGGGACGAAAGAAAAAAAACAAAGACCAAGACACGGUUGAGAACAACUUGAAAUCUCUGAAUAUAGAUAAUAAAUCUGCACAAGUAGUUAGUCCACUUCCUAAUGACGAUAAGAAAGAUGUUAGGGAGGAUAAAAAGAAUAAAUUAACAAAGUUUAUAGCAAUGGAUUGCGAGAUGGUUGGUAUAGGAUAUAAUGGCGAAGACCACAUGAUUGCUCGGGUAUCCCUGGUCAACAAAUUCGGUGACUGCAUUUAUGACAAGUUUGUGAAAGCGCGGGAACAGGUCGUAGAUUAUAGAACGCAAAUAAGUGGUGUAAGGAAGGAGGAUAUGUUAAACGGUGAAGACUUUAAUGUAGUUCAGAAGGAGGUAUCGGAAAUAUUGAAAGGACGAAUUCUAGUGGGACAUUCGUUGAAGACUGACCUUAGUGUGCUUUUCUUGUCACAUCCGAAGAAGAAUAUUAGAGAUACAUCUAAAUAUAAGCCGUUUAAGAAGAUCACGAAAGGCAGUACGCCCUCCCUAAAACGUUUAGCAAAAGAAAUCCUAGGUAUAGACAUACAGCACGGAGAACACAGUUCUGUCGAAGACGCGAAGGCAACAAUGCAGUUGUAUAACACAGUAGCGAAGAGUUGGGAACAGCUGUUGAGUGAGAAACGAGGUUAUAGCCGGAAGUUUGUGGAAAGCUAGUCUUUAUGAUAAAUGGCUAUAUUCAAAAUGAUUUUAUUAGUAAAAAGGUGUAGAUAAAAAUAAAACCGAAAGAGUAGAAUAGCUCUGGCAGGAUCUCAGGUGGCCUAGAGAUCAAAGGCGAAAGAAUGGCAAAAGACGCGGGUUUGAAUCAGGAAUCGUGAUUGAAUUUGUUCUAUUUAAAAAUUUCUCAUUUACAAAAUAUUCGAAUGCUAUAAAAAAUUAUUAAAUACAAAAUUCAAUCUUCAAUGAACACUCGCACACACAAUAUGACAUCAAAAUGAGAUGGCAUGAUUCAACUAUCGUGAGCAAGAGACAACUAAAGUAAAAUGUGGCUAAUUAGCAGCAUUAGAGCUAUCUACACCAUUCUACUUAUAAUAUCAUGUAUAGCAAGAUUUCUCAUUCAAUGACUUCAUGUUCAUAA